CGAGUGGCGGACGGGUGAGUAAUGUCUGGGAAACUGCCCGAUGGAGGGGGAUAACUACUGGAAACGGUAGCUAAUACCGCAUAACGUCGCAAGACCAAAGAGGGGGACCUUCGGGCCUCUUGCCAUCGGAUGUGCCCAGAUGGGGUUAGCUAGUAGGUGGGGUAACGGCUCACCUAGGCGACGAUCCCUAGCUGGUCUGAGAGGAUGACCAGCCACACUGGAACUGAGACACGGUCCAG
rnacentral:rRNA from 1 species